rnacentral:rRNA from 1 species
UACGGGGGGGCAAGCGUUGUUCGGAAUUACUGGGCGUAAAGGGCUCGUAGGUGGCCAACUAAGUCAGACGUGAAAUCCCUCGGCUUAACCGGGAACUGCGUCUGAUACUGGAUGGCUUGAGUUCGGGAGAGGGAUGCGGAAUUCCAGGUGUAGCGGUGAAAUGCGUAGAUAUCUGGAGGAACACCGGUGGCGAAGGCGGCAUCCUGGACCGAUACUGACGCUGAGGAGCGAAAGCCAGGGGAGCAAACGGGG